rnacentral:rRNA from 1 species
CAGUCGCCACGGUAAUACGAGGGGGGCAAGCGUUGUUCGGAUUUAUUGGGCGUAAAGGGUGCGUAGGCGGUUUGAUAAGUCUGAUGUGAAAUCUAUGGGCUCAACCCAUAGUCUGCAUUAGAAACUGUCGGGCUUGAGUAUGGGAGAGGUGAGUGGAAUUUCCGGUGUAGCGGUGAAAUGCGUAGAUAUCGGAAGGAACACCUGUGGCGAAAGCGGCUCACUGGACCAUAACUGACGCUGAUGCACGAAAGCUAGGGGAGCAAACAGGAUUAGAUACCCCGGUAGUCCCUGUCUCUUAUAC